ensembl:rRNA 5S_rRNA 5S ribosomal RNA
GUCUAUGGCCAUUCCACCCUGAACACGCCCGAUCUCAUAUGAUCUCACAAUCUAAGCAGGGUUGGGCCAGGUUAGUAUUUGGAUGGGAGAAUACAUUCACUUCUAAAAGAUUUGACUGUUCAAGAAA